rnacentral:rRNA from 1 species
AAUAGAUACCCAGGUAGUCCACGCCGUAAACGAUGAGUGCUAAGUGUUGGGGGGUUUCCGCCCCUCAGUGCUGCAGCUAACGCAUUAAGCACUCCGCCUGGGGAGUACGGUCGCAAGACUGAAACUCAAAGGAAUUGACGGGGGCCCGCACAAGCGGUGGAGCAUGUGGUUUAAUUCGAAGCAACGCGAAGAACCUUACCAGGUCUUGACAUCCCGGUGACCACUAUGGAGACAUAGUUUCCCCUUCGGGGGCAACGGUGACAGGUGGUGCAUGGUUGUCGUCAGCUCGUGUCGUGAGAUGUUGGGUUAAGUCCCGCAACGAGCGCAACCCUUAUUCUUAGUUGCCAUCAUUCAGUUGGGCACUCUAAGGAGACUGCCGGUGAUAAACCGGAGGAAGGUGGGGAUGACGUCAAAUCAUCAUGCCCUUUAUGACCUGGGCUACACACGUGCUACAAUGGACGGUACAAACGGUUGCCAACCCGCGAGGGGGAGCUAAUCCGAUAAAACCGUUCUCAGUUCGGAUUGUAGGCUGCAACUCGCCUAC